UACGUAGGUGGCGAGCGUUGUCCGGAUUUACUGGGCGUAAAGAGCGCGCAGGCGGUCGUUCAAGUCGCGUGUGAAAGCCCCCGGCUCAACUGGGGAGGGUCACGCGAUACUGAUCGACUCGAAGGCAGGAGAGGGUAGUGGAAUUCCCGGUGUAGUGGUGAAAUGCGUAGAUAUCGGGAGGAAUACCGGUGGCGAAGGCGGCAUCCUGGACCGACAUUGACGCUGAACGGCGAAAGCUAGGGGAGCGAACUGG
rnacentral:rRNA from 1 species